rnacentral:rRNA from 1 species
CCUACGGGAGGCAGCAGUGGGGAAUUUUGGACUAUGGGCGCAAGCCUGAUCCAGCAAUGCCGCGUGCAGGAAGAAGGCCUUCGGGUUGUAAACUGCUUUUGUACGGAGCGAAAAGGUCUUCCCUAAUACGGGAGGCUGAUGACGGUACCGUAAGAAUAAGCACCGGCUAACUACGUGCCAGCAGCCGCGGUAA